UAAAAGAAAUUUCAAAGUUAGUGAAGCGAAAAUCACAAAGUAGGUGAGACUUCAGGGCUUCACAGAAUUUAAAUAGCAUGGAAACCGACCUUGUGGCCUACCAAAUUCAGGGUGGCUACUGAGAUCCCAGGCUAUGCUGAUCCCAGUUUGUUAUUCUCUCCAUGUUCCCAUCAACUCUCCAUACAUUCUACCACUUAUCCACACACCAGAUGCAAUUUAAACCACCCAGUUAACUUACCAGCCCUCAUUUGUUUGUAAUGUGGGAUGGAACCCAGAGAUCAGGAGAGGAAACAGAGAUUAGGAUUCGGCCCGUGACACUGCAGCUGUGGGUCAGUAGCUCUGUCAGUUGGCCCAUGUUCACUACUGAUCUGUCAGUCAGAUCAGAAGACCGUACAACAUGUGAAUCCGAAACCCAACUUCACCUUACGUCUUCAGUCCCAUAUCCCCCAUUCUCUCGCCUAAACUUUCAGUUGCCCUCAGGAGUUUUAUGGGACGACAUUUCCAGAUUGUCCAAGGAAGCAUUUCCAUGUAUCACCCCAUCCACCAGCUUCAGCUUUUAUGUAAUUUUAAAGCUUAUGAAGUGAAAGAUUUAGCUGUGCACUGGAAGUAUCAGUAAAUUCCCUUCUUGGUUUCAAACAUGUCUAACAGUAAACGCAUAUAAAAAAUACUGCUACCAUUCCCCCGAUGAGUCAAUAGGGAAACAUAAUGCCAAGUGGGGAAGUUCAUUUUAAAUUUAUUCACUAUUUUGAAGGUAGGAUCGCUGGUCAGACGAGCACUGAUGGCCCUUCGGAAGGGAGUGGGUGAAUCAUUCCUUUAACCACUGUGGUGCUUCCGGUGAAUUUACUCUCACAAAGCGGUUGGUAGGAAGUUCCAGGAGUGCCAAAUUGAACUAAUCCCUUUUGCUUCCACAUGGUGCAUAUCAUUCCAUUCAUUACAGAUGUUCUUGGUGAUAGAUGUCACACAUUUGGGAGAUACCAAUGGAGGAGGAACUGCAGUGCACUUUAUGGACAGCACACAGUUACAGACAGUAACUGUGCACAUGCAAUGGAUGUUUGAAGUGAUGGAAGGGAUGCCAGUGAAGUGGACUGCGUUCUCCUGGACAGUGUUGGGGUUCUUGAGUGUUGCUGGAUCUCCAUUCAUCCGGGCAAGUGGAGAGCAUUUCAAUUCACUUGUGUCUUGUAGCUGAUGGAAAAGCUUUGAUACCAUGCAGAAUAGGUCCGGCUGGCCCUUUGAGAUGAGCUGCCAGCAACCCACCAACUUAAUAGCCAAACCACAGGACAAUUUACAAUUAACCUACUAACCGGUAUAUCUUUGGACUGUGGGAGGAAACCGGAGCACCCGGAGGAAACCCACGCAUUCGUGUGGAGGUCUUACAGAAUACAAGGUUACUGGCCGUGUGAAUACCCACUGUUUUCAAAGUUCAAGUAAACUUAUUAUCGAAGUACAUAUAUGUCAAAUACAACCCUGAGAUUCAUUUCCUGUGGGCAUACUCAAUAAUUCCAUAGAAUAAUAACCAUAACAGAAACAAUGGUUCUUUUGAAGACCCAACCUGGAGUUGCACGCUGACUACGGUUCUUUGCGGGAAUGGGACCCGCUCUCGGGGUUUCAGGACUGGCCAUUGUUCGGCAUGGCAAGGGUUCGGCCUGACAGUCCAGCUUGAUUUCGGAAGCCUAAGAUCUCAGGACUCUGGGGACGGCCGGAUCGAGGGUCGGUGUCACGGCAGGAGACCCAUGUGUCGUUGGGGGAGUCGGAAAACCUACUGCUGUGGGCCUGAAGAUCCGGGAUCUUUGCGAUCUUCAGGCACAGAGCUCGAAAAAAGUGAUGUAACCGAUUUUUAACAUCGGAAACCAGAGAGUUACUUGUUACGUCUCCCCGCUCGCUGGGAAAAUGGAGACACCUCUUUCUCCCUUAUUAGGGAGAGAGAGAAUCUGCGGUACAUCAAAUGCUGAGUGAAACUCGAAGUCUUUGGGGUAAAUGCAAGUCUGUGUCUUUGCUACUGUUUUGCUCACGCUU